rnacentral:misc_RNA from 1 species
GCAUCAUCAAACAAGGACGAACUUUGGGAUCCAUUCUCUAGCACACUCGAUCUUGGAGAAGUUCCUUCUUCAGCUUCCUCAGGGACCGGCGAUGGGGGAUUGGCAGGAAUAUAAGCAACCCGCAGCUUGAAUUCCUCAAUAACCUUGCCCGAUGCUUUAUUGAACAUCUCGGCAGUUAUGUCUUUGGUUGUAGCUCCAUGUUCCACAAUGACACUCUGGAGAAGGAACUUGUCUUUACAUUGCAUAUCUGAUGG